GAUGAAGAACGUAGCGAAAUGCGAUAACUAAUGUGAAUUGCAGAAUUCAGUGAAUCAUCGAGUCUUUGAACGCACAUUGCGCCCUCUGGUAUUCUGGAGGGCAUGCCUGUCCGAGCGUCAUUGCUGCCCUCCAGCCCGGCUGGUGUGUUGGGCCCCGUCCCCCUUCCCGGGGGGACGGGCCCGAAAGGCAGCGGCGGCACCGCGUCCGGUCCUCGAGCGUAUGGGGCUUUGUCACCCGCUCUUGUAGGCCCGGCCGGCGCCAGCCGACCCCCUCAAUCUAUUUUUCAGGUUGACCUCGGAUCAGGUAGGGAUACCCGCUGAACUUAAGCAUAUCAAUAAGCGGAGGA
rnacentral:misc_RNA from 1 species